rnacentral:rRNA from 1 species
GACGAACGCUGGCGGCGUGCUUAACACAUGCAAGUCGAACGGUAAGGCCCUUCGGGGUACACGAGUGGCGAACGGGUGAGUAACACGUGGGUGAUCUGCCCUGCACUUAGGGAUAAGCCUGGGAAACUGGGGCUAAUACCGGAUAGGACCAUUGCCUGCAUGGGUGGUGGUGGAAAGCUUUUGCUGUGUGGGAUGGGCCCGCGGCCUAUCAGCUUGUUGGUUGGGUGAUGGCCUACCAAGGCGACGACGGGUAGCCUGCCUGAGAGGGUGACGGGCCACACUAGGACUGAGAUACGGCCCAGACUCCUAGGGAAGGCAGCAUUGGGGAAUAUUGCACAAUGGGCGCAAGCCUGAUGCAGCGACGCCGCGUGAGGGAUGACGGCCUUCGGGUUGUAAACCUCUUUCAGCACCGACGAAGCGCAAGUGACGGUAGGUGCAGAAGAAGGACCGGCCAACUACGUUCCAGCAGCCGCCGUAA